GACGAACGCUGGCGGCGUGCCUAAUACAUGCAAGUAGAACGCUGAAGCUUGGUGCUUGCACCGAGCGGAUGAGUUGCGAACGGGUGAGUAACGCGUAGGUAACCUGCCUGGUAGCGGGGGAUAACUAUUGGAAACGAUAGCUAAUACCGCAUAGCAGUAGAUAUCGCAUGAUAGCUACUUGAAAGGUGCAAAUGCACCACUACCAGAUGGACCUGCGUUGUAUUAGCUAGUUGGUGAGGUAACGGCUCACCAAGGCAACGAUACAUAGCCGACCUGAGAGGGUGAUCGGCCACACUGGGACUGAGACACGGCCCAGACUCCUACGGGAGGCAGCAGUAGGGAAUCUUCGGCAAUGGACGGAAGUCUGACCGAGCAACGCCGCGUGAGUGAAGAAGGUUUUCGGAUCGUAAAGCUCUGUUGUAAGAGAAGAACGAGUGUGAGAGUGGAAAGUUCACACUGUGACGGUAUCUUACCAGAAAGGGACGGCUAACUACGUG
rnacentral:rRNA from 1 species